CUACUACACCUGUUGUAUUCAGCAUUUCACUGUGAGGUCUACUACACCUGUUGUAUUCAGCAUUUCACUGUGAGGUCUACUACACCUGUUGUAUUCAGCAUUUCACUGUGAGGUCUACUACACCUGUUGUAUUCAGCAUUUUACUGUGAGGUCUACUACACCUGUUGUAUUCAGCAUUUCACUGUGAGGUCUACUACACCUGUUGUAUUCGGCGCACGUGACAUAUAAACUUUGAUUUGAUUUGGUGGACAUUCCUACAGUCAGCAAUUGCACUGCUCCCUCAAAACUUGAGACAUCUGUGGCAUUGUGGUGUUUGACAAAACUGCACAUUUUAGAGUGACCUUUUUAUUGUCCCCAGCACAAGGUGCACCUGUGUAAUGAUCAUGCUGUUUAAUCAGUUUCUUGCUAUGCCACACCUGUCAGGUGGAUGGAUUAUCUUGUCAAGGAGAAAUGAUUAUUAACAGGAAUGUAAACAAAUUUGUGAGAAAGAAGCUUUUUAUGCAAAUUUUUUAUUUCAGC
rnacentral:lncRNA from 1 species